rnacentral:tRNA from 1 species
UUUUUAAUAGUAUAAAUAAGUACGGUUACCUUCCAAGUAAAAAGUCGUCUAACGUUCUUAGAGUAGGUUAAAAAA